GGCGCUGUGGCUUAGUUGGUUAAAGCGCCUGUCUAGUAAACAGGAGAUCCUGGGAUCGAGUUCCAGCAGUACCU